rnacentral:lncRNA from 1 species
UAAAAACCACCUUAUAUUUUAUAUUUUCGUUAUAUUACAUAGCAUUUAUUGAAAUAUUGUGUUAUGUGUAAAUCCGACCUAUACGAUAUACGUUUUGUUCAGAAAGAAAACCAAAACAUUUAUCAAUUAGAAAGAUUCUUUGUUAAUCACAUUGAGGGCUGUGUGCUCGUCUGUAUUUGGGACAUUGGCAGAACCAUCCUCGACGGACUUACAAAAUUUCUUAGUAAGUCAAAUCCCAAAGAACUCAUCAUGUAACCACUGAUGUUUAUUUUAAUUCUUAUCAUGUCUGUAGUAUAGGGC